CCUACGGGAGGCAGCAGUGGGGAAUAUUGGACAAUGGGGGGAACCCUGAUCCAGCCAUGCCGCGUGUGUGAAGAAGGCCCUCGGGUUGUAAAGCACUUUCAGUGAGGAAGAACGCCUGGUGGUUAAUACCCAUCAGGAAAGACAUCACUCACAGUAGAAGCACCGGCUAACUCCGUGCCAGCAGCCGCGGUAAUACGGAGGGUGCGAGCGUUAAUCGGAAUUACUGGGCGUAAAGCGCGCGUAGGUGGCUUGAUAAGCCGGUUGUGAAAGCCCCGGGCUCAACCUGGGAACGGCAUCCGGAACUGUCAAGCUAGAGUGCAGGAGAGGAAGGUAGAAUUCCCGGUGUAGCGGUGAAAUGCGUAGAGAUCGGGAGGAAUACCAGUGGCGAAGGCGGCCUUCUGGACUGACACUGACACUGAGGUGCGAAAGCGUGGGUAGCAAACAGGAUUAGAUACCCUUGUAGUC
rnacentral:rRNA from 1 species